rnacentral:rRNA from 1 species
AGUGAACGCUGGCGGCAGGCCUAACACAUGCAAGUCGAGCGGCAGCGCGGGUGUAGCAAUACAUCUGGCGGCGAGCGGCGGACGGGUGAGGAAUACAUCGGAAUUUACCCAAUCGUGGGGGAUAACGUAGGGAAACUUACGCUAAUACCGCAUGAACUGGAGACAGCAAAGCGGCGGACCGAAAGGCGUCGCGCGGUUGGAUGAGCCGAUGUCGGAUUAGCUAGNGGCGGGGUAAAGGCCCACCAAGGCGACGAUCCGUAGCUGGUCUGAGAGGAUGAUCAGCCACACUGGAACUGAGACACGGUCCAGACUCCUACGGGAGGCAGCAGUGGGAAUAUUGGACAAUGGGCGCAAGCCUGAUCCAGCCAUGCCGCGUGUGU